CAAUAGCGUAUAUUAAAGUUGUUGCAGUUAAAAAGCUCGUAGUUGGAUUUCGGGGCAGCCUGGCUGGUCCGCCGCAAGGCGAGUACUGGUCAGCCGCCCUUCCUCUCGAAAGCCCCGACUGCUCUUCGUUGCAGUGGUCGGGUAGUUCGGGACGUUUACUUUGAAAAAAUUAGAGUGUUCAAGGCAGGCCUACGCCUGAAUACAUUAGCAUGGAAUAAUGGAAGAGGACCUCGGUCCUAUUUUGUUGGUUUCCAGGGCCGAAGUAAUGAUCAAGAGGGACAGUUGGGGGCAUUCGUAUUUAAUUGUCAGAGGUGAAAUUCUCGGAUUUAUGAAAGACGAACAACUGCGAAAGCAUUUGCCAAGGAUGUUUUCAUUAA
rnacentral:rRNA from 1 species